GUACACUCCUACGGGAGGCAGCAGUGGGGAAUUUUGGACAAUGGGCGAAAGCCUGAUCCAGCCAUGCCGCGUGCAGGAUGAAGGCCUUCGGGUUGUAAACUGCUUUUGUACGGAACGAAACGGCCUUUUCUAAUAAAGAGGGCUAAUGACGGUACCGUAAGAAUAAGCACCGGCUAACUACGUGCCAGCAGCCGCGGUAAUACGUAGGGUGCAAGCGUUAAUCGGAAUUACUGGGCGUAAAGCGUGCGCAGGCGGUUAUGUAAGACAGUUGUGAAAUCCCCGGGCUCAACCUGGGAACUGCAUCUGUGACUGCAUAGCUAGAGUACGGUAGAGGGGGAUGGAAUUCCGCGUGUAGCAGUGAAAUGCGUAGAUAUGCGGAGGAACACCGAUGGCGAAGGCAAUCCCCUGGACCGGUACUGACGCUCAUGCACGAAAGCGUGGGGAGCAAACAGGGAUAGAAACCCGAGUAGUCCCA
rnacentral:rRNA from 1 species